ensembl:lncRNA
AUGGCAUUGUCACCUCAGUGUCACCUGUGUCACCUCCCUGUGUCACCUCCCUGUGUCACACCUGUGUCACCUGUGUCACUGUGUCACACCUGUGUCACCUGUGUCACACGUGUGUCACACCUGUGUCACACCUGUGUGUCACCUGUGUCACACCUGUGUCACCUGUGUCACCUGUGUCACCUGUGUCACACCUGUGUCACACCUGUGUCACACCUGUGUCACACCUGUGUCACCUGUGUCACACCUGUGUCACCUGUGUCACCUGUGUCACCUGUGUCACACCUGCGGCGCUGGAGCUGCCCUACCCCUACCUGGAACCAUCCGUGGUGCAGGAGAGCAUCUCCAUCUGAUGGCAUUGUCACCUGUGUGUCACCUGUGUCAUACCUGUGUCACACCUGUGUCACACCUGUGUCACCUGUGUCACACCUGUGGCGCUGGAGCUGCCCUACCCCUACCUGGAACCUUCCAUGGUGCAGGAGAGCAUCUCCAUCUGAUGGCAUUGUCACCUGUGUCACCUGUGUCACCUCCUGUGUCACCUGUGUCACCUGUGUCACCUGUGUCACCUGUGUCACACCCGUGUCACACCCGUGUCACCUGUGUCACACCUGUGUCACCUCCUGUGUCACACCUGUGUCACCUGUGUCACCUGUGUCACACCUGUGUCACCUGUGUGUCACCUGUGUCACCUGUGUCACCUCAUUGUCAGCUGUGUCACCUGUGUCACACCUGUGUCACACCUGUGUCACCUGUGUCACCUGUGUCACCUGUGUCACCUCAUUGUCACCUGUGUCACCUCCUGUGUCACACCUGUGUCACACCUGUGUCACCUCCUGUGUCACCUGUGUCACCUGUGUCACCUGUGUCACCUGUGUCACCUCCUGUGUCACCUGUGUCACCUGUGUCACCUGUGUCACCUCAUUGUCACCUGUGUCACCUGUGUCACCACCAACCUGGGCCCCUCCAGGAUGUCCCCAACCCUGUCUGGGAUGUCCCCAACCCCCUCGAGAUGUCCCCAAGGUGUCCCCAAGGUGUCCCCAAGUUGUCCCCAACCCCCCCAAGGUGUCCCCAAGGUGUCCCCAAGGUGUCCCCAAGAUGUCCCCAAGGUGUCACCAAGGUGUCCUCAACCCCCCCAAGGUGUCCCCAAGGUGUCACCAAGGUGUCCCCAAAGUGUCCCCAACCCCCCCAAGGUGUCCCCAAAGUGUCCCCAAGGUGUCCCAACCCCCCGCGAUGUCCCUGAGGUGUCCCCAAGGUGUCCUCAAACCCCUGAGAUGUCCCCAAGGUGUCGCCAAGGUGUCCCCAAAGUGUCCCCAACCCCCCCAGGGUGUCCCCAAGGUGUCCCCAAGUUGUCCCCAAGGUGUCCCUAAGGUGUCCCCAACCCCCCAAGAUCUCCCCAAGGUGUCCCCAACCCCCCUGAGAUGUCCCCAAGGUGUCCCCAAGGUGUCACCAAGGUGUCCCCAAAGUGUCCUCAAGAUGUCCCCAAACCCCCUGAGAUGUCCCCAAGGUGUCCCCAAGGUGUCCCCAAGGUGUCCCCAAGUGUCCUCAACCCCCCCAAGGUGUCCCCAAGGUGUCCCCAAGGUGUCCUCAAGGUGUCCCCAACCCCCCCGAGAUGUCCUCGAGAUGUCCCCAAAACCCCCAAGAUGUCCCCAAGGUGUCCCCAAGGUGUCCCCAAGGUGUCCCCCAAACAAAUAUUUGGAAUAUCCCAAAAAUUUCCCGGGAAUGCCGUCAAAAAAAAAAAAAAAAACAACUCUUGAGAAGAUCCCAAAAAAUUUCAGAAAAUUCCCAAAAUUUGGAAUAUCCCAAAAAAUUCCAGAAAAAUCCCCCAAAAAAUUCCCGAAAAAUCCCCCCAAAAUUCCCAAAAAAUCCCCCAAAAUUCCCGAAAAAUCCCCCCAAAAUUCCCAAAAAAUCCCCAAAAAAUCCCCGAAAAAUCCCAAAAAAUCCCCAAAACCCCAAAAAUAUUUGGAAUAUCCCAAAAAAUUCCCAAAAAAUCCCAAAAUUUUGAAUAUCCAAAAAAAUCCCUGA